GAUGAACGCUAGCUACAGGCUUAACACAUGCAAGUCGAGGGGAAACGAUAGAGAAAGCUUGCUUUUUCUAGGCGUCGACCGGCGCAUGGGUGAGUAACGCGUAUCCAACCUGCCCAUCACUUGGGGAUAACCUUGCGAAAGUAAGACUAAUACCCAAUGAUGUCUCUAGAAGACAUCUGAAAGGGAUUAAAGAUUUAUCGGUGAUGGAUGGGGAUGCGUCUGAUUAGCUUGUUGGCGGGGUAACGGCUCACCAAGGCGACGAUCAGUAGGGGUUCUGAGAGGAAGGUCCCCACAUUGGAACUGAGACACGGUCCAAACUCCUACGGGAGGCAGCAGUGAGGAAUAUUGGUCAAUGGGCGAGAGCCUGAACCAGCCAAGUAGCGUGCAGGAUGACGGCCCUAUGGGUUGUAAACUGCUUUUAUAAGGGAAUAAAGUGAGCCUCGUGAGGCUUUUUGCAUGUACCUUAUGAAUAAGGACCGGCUAAUUCCGUGCCAGCCGCCGCGGUAA
rnacentral:rRNA from 1 species